AGUCAUAAUUGCUAUUCUCUGUAAAUAGUGAUUGUGAUAAGCGGUGCGGACGUGCUUCAACACGUUCGCAUCGCGCU
rnacentral:antisense_RNA from 1 species